rnacentral:lncRNA from 10 species
GUGCACACGUUAGGGUUGCACAAGAGGUGAUCAACAUAUCCCACCGCGAAGAGGAAAGCAGCAUUAACCUGGAACAUUUGAAUCCUGGGGCAGACAGGUAAAUGUCUUUGGAGAUGGGAGGAGAUAAGGUCAUAGAGGUAAGGAAUUGAGAAGUGAAUUAAGGAAAGAACUGUCAGGAACAACUGCAGGAGAGGAUGGCAUGAGGAAGAGAAAUUGGCAGAGCAGGGGGUCACUGUGAUACAAAGAAUCUGAGGCCAACACAGGGGCUCUGAAGAGAGCAGCAAACUAUAAAAAAGUUUAUAGCCAGUGAAGGGGACAAGGCCAAAGAUGCAAGAGACAGAAGGCAUUCCCAACAGGGUGUGAGGUUCAGGUGGGACAAGAAGGAGGCAGGCUCAGAGACGCAGAGGGGGGGAUUCCUUUAGACAGGAGGUGGAGCUGUUUUCUUAGAAAGGGCGAAACUACCAAAGAUAAAAUCUGCAGAGAGUAAGGAAAGAAGUUGGUGGAACUGAGGCCCGAUGGCUUUGGACCAAUUCAGAAAACCAAGAGGCAAACUCAGCUUAUGACUUUCUUAAAGCACUGAGUUCCUGAAAAAGUGCCAAACUGAAUGGUGCAGUCCUGCCGAAAGAGACCCUGCGCUGUGCUGUGUUCUCAAAGGAAGGAAUGUGUUUCACAUCUCUACACCUCUGCAACUUGGGACAGUGUAGCUUUCCUAUUUUCUGGCACCCAAAAAGGGACAGCUGAUACACCCCACUCACUCCAGACUCUGCAGAUGAGAUCUGGGACAACUGACAAAAAGCUGGAGACAGGUAAGAAUUCUUGCCAAGGUCAGCUCUCCUGGAUCUUUAUCAGUAGCACCCCGUGGAGAGAAGAAGGUUAAAAACUUUUUCUUUUCCCCUACUUCCCAAAUUCUGAUUAUCAAGAGAAAAUCAUUUGUUUGAAUUGUGACUCCUAUGUAAAUGUGAUUUGGGGUACCCAUUCAUUAUUGAUCCUUUCCCUCCCAGGGACAGCUAUAACUUUCCUAUUUGUCUUGUGUCCUGAGAACUUAGCUUGACUUUCUACCUGUCAGGGCAUGCAAAUUGUUGGCAUUGUAGUCCAUAAAAUUAAGCUGUAAAUAGCUAAAGUUAGACCAGCCAGGAUGCCAAUCAACUUUUGUUUUGCUUUGCUUUUCUGCAUUUUGGGGUACAUGGAGAAAGUCUGGAAGAUGCUGCCCUGCCUACAUAAGGACAUGACGACCUUGUAACCUCACUUGAAUCUUUGGUCAUACAAUCUCUCGUAUUCUGAAGAUUCACCUGGUACACCAAUUGUUUGAAACUCAAAUACUCUGUUCUCUUGAAUCGAUGUUAACCAUGAAUACAGGAUCUCACUAUGUUGCCCAGGCUGGUCUUGAACUCCCGACCUCAAGCCAUCCUUCCUCCUGGGCAUCCCAAAGUGCUGGAAUUACAAGUGUGAGCCACCAUGCCGUGACACAUUAUUUGUUUCUAAUAAGUGUGUAACUCAUACCUACUAGUUGAAUCAAUUCUUUGACUUGUGGAAAACAAAAGAGAGAAGUGAUUCUUAGAUGUAGAAAGGAGAAUUCACAUCCAGUUUAUUUGGUCUCCAUCAGUCCUAUUUCAUAUACACAGAAAGCAAACAAAUUAGUAGGAAUCUUUGUGUGCCCAAGAAUUUUUGUUGAGAGAAAAAGGAGGUGACAACAAUUUUGAGGCAGUUGAACAAAAUGGGAGGUAAUAGGUAAUUAGACAUCUGAAUGUCCAGGAUGUUCAAAUGACAAGGAUUUAUACUUAGGAGUUGCUUUUAUUUUUCCAAAGCAGGAUGUCAGGUAAUCGCUAUACCCUGAGCUGAGCUGAGCUGAGCUUUUGCCUUUACUUCCAGAGCAUUGGCAUGGUGUCUCUGAAAACCUACUGCAAGCAGCAGCUCUAACCCACAAACCCUCAUACAGGGUGCUAAGGAACUGUUGUAUAGCUCAGGCAUUGCUGCAAAGCUGUAAUUUCUCAUUUCUUACCCCUUCGCUAAAUUAUAAUUUAAAUUCCAUCAUUCAAAACUGCCUGAUCUUGGGCCAGAUGCAUAUAUCACAAAAAGGCAUUAAAAUCUGACUUUUUAUAUCCCCAAUAAGAAAUGUCAUGAGUCCAUCACAGAAUCAUAACUCCCUCUCGAAUUAGAGCUAAGAAAGAUUUGAACUUCAAAGGGGAACUCUUCAAUUACAGGCAAAUCUGAGGGCUUUUCUGGUAACCUCUUAAAAUUCUGAAUUCAAAAAAAAAAGAAGAUGACUUGUAUUUCAGAGCAAAAGCAACCAUGAGUAAAUAGCAGUCUGUCAAAGGAUGCUACAUGUGAAAGUGAGAGAGGAGCUCAUUGGUUCAUUUCUUUGAAGGCAGUCCCAGGAUAACUGGCAACUCAAAACUCAGUAACAUUUCAGCGGAGGCCCUAAAACCCAAAACAAUUACCCACUGGCUCUUCUGCUGGCUAAGAUUUACAUCUAGUGGGUUCAUCAGGACAGAUACCACAGAGGCUCUGCAAAGAGUACUAUGGAGCUUAGUGACUUCAGAGCUUGCUCUUGGAAUAUUUAUCAUUUUAGCUCAGUCAAUAGCUAGUCCUUUGCCAGUGAGGAGAUAAGCAAGCAGUCUUAACAGUCUUGAUCCUUUCAAAAGAUUUUUGUUCCACAGAACACUGGGGAGCAACCAUCUUCCCUCCAAUGCCCAUCCAAGCCUGGGAGAGCGAACAGGAGAUAUUUUAGACCUUUAUAAAAAUGAUUCACUUAUAUAAGAAAGAAAAAUCUUAACUAAAUAGGAAGAGAUCAGGAUAGAAAACAUCCAGAGAGAGAGGUUUAAGAGCAGUGCCAGUUUGUUUUGGCAUGAUGGACAACAAGGCGGCUUGUUCUAAUUGCGACUUGUGGGGCAGUUCUAGUUGAGGAAGGUAGACGGAGGCACUUCCACCUACAGCCACAUAAAAGCAGAACUGGCGUCCAAGGGAAAACUGUGACAGAGC